rnacentral:rRNA from 1 species
CUUAACACAUGCAAGUCGAGGGGCAGCACAGGUAGCAAUACCGGGUGGCGACCGGCGCACGGGUGAGUAACGCGUAUGCAACUUACCUAUCAGAGGGGGAUAACCCGGCGAAAGUCGGACUAAUACCGCAUGAAGCAGGGGUCCCGCAUGGGGAUAUUUGCUAAAGAUUCAUCGCUGAUAGAUAGGCAUGCGUUCCAUUAGGCAGUUGGCGGGGUAACGGCCCACCAAACCGACGAUGGAUAGGGGUUCUGAGAGGAAGGUCCCCCACAUUGGUACUGAGACACGGACCAAACUCCUACGGGAGGCAGCAGUGAGGAAUAUUGGUCAAUGGCCGAGAGGCUGAACCAGCCAAGUCGCGUGAGGGAUGAAGGUUCUAUGGAUCGUAAACCUCUUUUAUAAGGGAAUAAAGUGCGGGACGUGUCCCGUUUUGUAUGUACCUUAUGAAUAAGGAUCGGCUAACUCCGUGCCAGCAGCCGCGGUAAUACGGAGGAUCCGAGCGUUAUCCGGAUUUAUUGGGUUUAAAGGGUGCGUAGGCGGCCUUUUAAGUCAGCGGUGAAAGUCUGUGGCUCAACCAUAGAAUUGCCGUUGAAACUGGGGGGCUUGAGUAUGUUUGAGGCAGGCGGAAUGCGUGGCGUAGCGGUGAAAUGCAUAGAUAUCACGCAGAACCCCGAUUGCGAAGGCAGCCUGCCAAGCCAUUACUGACGCUGAUGCACGAAAGCGUGGGGAUCAAACAGGAUUAGAUACCCUGGUAGUCCACGCAGUAAACGAUGAUCACUAGCUGUUUGCGAUACACUGUAAGCGGCACAGCGAAAGCGUUAAGUGAUCCACCUGGGGAGUACGCCGGCAACGGUGAAACUCAAAGGAAUUGACGGGGGCCCGCACAAGCGGAGGAACAUGUGGUUUAAUUCGAUGAUACGCGAGGAACCUUACCCGGGUUUGAACGCAUUCGGACCGAGGUGGAAACACCUUUUCUAGCAAUAGCCGUUUGCGAGGUGCUGCAUGGUUGUCGUCAGCUCGUGCCGUGAGGUGUCGGCUUAAGUGCCAUAACGAGCGCAACCCUUGCCACUAGUUACUAACAGGUAAAGCUGAGGACUCUGGUGGGACUGCCAGCGUGAGCUGCGAGGAAGGCGGGGAUGACGUCAAAUCAGCACGGCCCUUACAUCCGGGGCGACACACGUGUUACAAUGGCGUGGACAAAGGGAAGCCACCUGGCGACAGGGAGCGAAUCCCCAAACCACGUCUCAGUCCGGAUCGGAGUCUGCAACCCGACUCCGUGAAGCUGGAUUCGCUAGUAAUCGCGCAUCAGCCAUGGCGCGGUGAAUACGUUCCCGGGCCUUGUACACACCGCCCGUCAAGCCAUGGGAGCCGGGGGUACCUGAAGUCCGUAACCGCGAGGAUCGGCCUAGGGUAAAACUGGUGACUGGGGCUAAGUCAUAACA